rnacentral:rRNA from 1 species
GAGCAAGAGGGGGUUGCCUAAUCAUGCAAGUCGUACGCUUCUUUUUCCACCGGAGCUUGCUCCACCGGAAAAACAGUUGAGGGGAACGGGUGAGUAACACGUGGGUAACCCGCUCUUCAAAAGGGGAUAACGCUUGGAAACAGGUGCUAAUACCGUAUAACAAUCGAAACCGCAUGGUUUUGAUUUGAAAGGCGCUUUCGGGUGUCGCUGAUGGAUGGACCCACGGUGCAUUAGCUAGUUGGUGAGGUAACGGCUCACCAAGGCCACGAUGCAUAGCCGACCUGAGAGGGUGAUCGGCCACGUUGGGACUGAGACACGGCCCAAACUCCUACGGGAGGCAGCAGUAGGGAAUCUUCGGCAAUGGACGAAAGUCUGACCGAGCAACGCCGCGUGAGUGAAGAAGGUUUUCGGAUCGUAAAACUCUGUUUUUAGAGAAGAACAAGGAUGAGAGUAACUGUUCAUCCCUUGACGGUAUCUAACCAGAAAGCCACGGCUAACUACGUGCCAGCAGCCGCGGUAAUACAACU